CCUGGCACCUUUAAUCGGGUGACGGCGAGUUUUAGGCUAAGGCUAAAGCUACUAUCUAAAACUUGUAAAGUGCCACAGAGACGAGCUAUAUGGAAACAUAUAGGUGAAACGCGGUAA
rnacentral:RNase_P_RNA from 1 species